CACAAGAUGUGUCAUCCUGGGAGGGACACAGCCGGCUCGCCCCAGCCCCGUCGGUGGCAGCAAAUCCCCCGCAGCACUGGGGAUGUUCAAAGAAGAUAAAAAGUAAAACCAAGCCAACAACACAAACACGCACACCCAUCCCAGUGAAGGCGGUGGGCAAGGGCUAAAGACAAAGAGGGAGCCAGGUCAGAAAGACAAUUGUCGUUUCUGAUUUUGCCUUUGUGAUUUCUUCACUUUCCAUACAACAUUCAGGUGUGCUGUUGGCAGCGGCGGUAAGUCCCACGUCAUAACCUUCCUGAAAUUUUUCCACCGGUCGGUACAAUUCGAACACUCGUUCUUCUUUAAAGAGAAAUAAAAGAAAAUUUAAAAGUCAUCCCCAAACUCGUGGAAUUAAGGUUCUACCAGGAUUUACACUUCCAAACAACCAUCGGGCAGUAUCCCGACACCAAAAGCCCCGCCGCAGGGAGUGCUAAUUUUUCCUAAGGAUACCUUCCCCAUUUUAGGGAAAGCGGGCUAAUAACUUAAGUUUGUGAAGUCACAUGUAGCUUUAAAUAGGCAUCAACAUUAACAAUCACGAACCUCGCGAUAAUAGCUCUUAAAUACCUCGCUAAUAGCCCCCACGUGGAAAGAAAUCCCCAAGUGUUAUAAAUUCAGUUUAACGACCAGAAAACCUCCUGGGCAGCGGUGAAAUACGAAAACUCCUUUCUCUGAGUUCCCUGUCUUUGAUUUAUUUUUAACUAGGCGCUCAUGGGAACGCGGCGCUGGAAAAUCACGUCCAGAUGUACCUAAAGAGGCGCUUUCUCUGCUGAAAACCUCUCUCCUAAGGGGAGUGAAGAAAAAAAAAAAUCUUUAAAGUAGUUUGAAAUUUGGUUUUGCCGUGGAUCUAAUCGUAAAAAGAAGGGGCAAAGCAGCGGCUGCGUUCGGUGCAGAGACGCUCAGCGAGGAGGGAGCGGCUCUGAAAAUAGAGCGCAGGGGAGACGUGCUCCUCUAGGGCAGCCUGUACCGGGUGGAGGGGAGGCAGCUCAGAGCCCAGGGCUGUUCGCUGGUCUCCUUCGGUGCUUUGGGAGGAUGCCCGGGUUUGCCCGGAGCCGGGCGGGCUGCGCGCAGGCGGUGCCGGCCCCUCCGCGCCGCAGCCCCUGCUCCUUCGGUGAAGUAUCACAGAUUUGGCUGUGAGAGUGGGUUUGCGGGAGGAGGCGAGAUAAACGGCCCUGAGAAAUGCAGGGGUUUUUCCCAGGGAGUAUCUGUACCUGAUGCCUAAGUCAUCAGUGGGAUUUGCCUGUUGCAGUACUGUCAAGCUGGUUUGAGGUUAGCUGUCCUCAGAAGAAGCAUGGAGUCUCAAGUUCCGCAGCCACUACCCUAGACAGAAAAAAAAGGAAAAAAACCCAAAAGAUUCCUAUCCCAGAUUUGUGGGAAGAGCAACAAAACAAGCAAGCAGAUGCUUCUACUUUCUAUUUACAAGAUUUCAGAAGAAUGCCAGGCCUGACAAUCCAUACUGUAUGUAGAAUAUCUCUAGGAGCUCCUUUAUCAUGGUGUAUCCUGUCAGCUGAUUCAGCUCAGUGAGUCAUCAACAGUUAAACUAUGCUCUUAAGUUCUGGAAGACAAAUUUUCUUAUUGGAAUUGAAGCACAGCCACAGAGUGAGGGCUCUUGCACUCCUUGCUAACUAGGGGGUAGACUAGGUUGAGGAAUUCUUGCUAAAAUUUUCCAUCAUAAGAGGCUAAUUAAAGCCAGAAAAUGAAACGAGACUGGAUCCAAGAUCUUCUGAGUGUGAAAUCUGUCAUUGUGUUCUAGAGAUUUUUCUCUCCAUUUUCAAUAUGUCUGUUUCAUUGCAUUUCUUCUUCUCACACUUGUUUAUUACACUGGUUUCAAGUUCGUGCUAAUGAAGCUCCUUAUCAGAUUGAUUGUUCCUCUAUUAUGAUGAGUUUCUCUGGAGGCUGUCUGAUGCAUCCUCCUGCUCAAAAUGCUCAGAACAAGUUGCUGAAUAGUUAAAUGAAUUUUUCUGUAUUUCAGUUUUUACCUACUGUGUCUUUUCACUGGACAUCACUGUGUGCAGCUCCAUCUUCUUCACUAUCUUUUCUCACAGGAGUGUUUUUUACACAUUAUAAGAUUUCCUGGAGCCUUCUCCAGGCUGAACAGUUCCAGAUCUCUCGGCUUCUCAGAGGAUCAUCAAAAUUGGAAAAAAACUUUAAGAUCAUCCAGUCCAACUGCCAGCCCAGCACUGCCCUUGUAACCCCUAAACCCCAUCACCCACUGUCAGAACCAGAGGUCUCUUAAGAACCUUCAGGUGUAGUGACAGCUCUUUCAGCCCCUUAAUUAUCUUUGUGGCACUCACACCAAUAAGGUCAUGUCUCAUCCUGGGGAGCCCAGACCCGGAUCCAAUGCUCCAGACAUAUCCUGCUAUUGUUGGGCUGAAAGGAAUGAUCACCUCCCUUCACCUGCUGGCAAAUUCAAUUUUAGGAUCAUGCUUUGGCAUGCUCAGAAUCUCUGAAUUCCUCCUAAGUCAUCUGUUCUGGCUUCUUUUUUAAUUUCUUCAGGAGCUCCUUAUUCAUCCAUAGAUGUCUCCCGUAGCUUUUGUUUAAUUUUCCACAUAUUGAGUUGGACUGUUCUUAAGGUUGAAGGAGGCUGAAAAUCAGCCAGCUCUCCUGGGACUCUUAAUUCUUAUUUCUUAUUUUCCAAGAGCCGAGAAAAGUCCAUGGGAUUUUGACAAACAGGUACCUGAAACAGCCAGAGCCUGUGGGUUGUUAUCCUGCCAGUUGUUCUUUUCCUUCCCAUGAGGGCCUUCAACUCCACAAUUUCAUGGUUGCUGCAACCAAGACUGCCUUCAGCCCUCUCAUCCAUGAACAGCCCUUCUUCAUUGGCAAGGAUGAGAUUCAGAAGGCUGUCUCCUUCCACCUGUCCCUUCAACAGGAGGGUGUCAAGAAGUUAUCAUUAAUGCAUCUUGAAAGCAGACAGGGUCCCUUGUACCCUGUUGUGUUGCCCUUUUGGCAGUUUUUGUAGUAGUUAAACCCAACUAUGAGCACUUCAUAAUAAUAAAUUAUUAAAUGAAACUAUUGUAAGAAUAAAUUAUUAAAAAAACCUAAAGAGCAGAAAUGUGGUCCUUAUUCAAACUGAUAUUUUAAGUUUCAACUUGCCUAAGUGGAGAUAAUGAACUACUAAAUGGAAAUUAACAUGUUUUCUGUGGUGAAAAAUAGACACAAUUCAAAGGAAAGCU